AGAACGAACGCUGGCGGCAGGCCUCAAACAUGCAAGUCUAGGGGGUGUAGCAAUACAUCACCGGCGGACGGGUGCGUAACGCGUGGGAAUGUACCUACUGGUUCGGAACAACUGCGGGAAACUGCAGCUAAUACCGAAUGUGCCCGCAAGGGGAAAGAUUUAUCGCCAGUAGAUCAGCCCGCGUAGGAUUAGCUAGUUGGUGGGGUAAUGGCCCACCAAGGCUCCGAUCCUUAGCUGUUCUGAGAGGAAGAUCAGCCACACUGGGACUGAGACACGGCCCAGACUCCUACGGGAGGCAGCAGUUGGGAAUCUUGGACAAUGGGGGAAACCCUGAUCCAGCCAUGCCGCGUGAGUGAUGAAGGCCUUCGGGUUGUAAACUCUUUCGACGGGACGAUAAUGACGGUACCCGUAGAAGAAGCUCCGGCUAACUUCGUGCCAGCAGCCGC
rnacentral:rRNA from 1 species